GCAGCUAAUGUCUGUGGCAACCUGGGUGUUUAGGAGCGGGCUAAAGCUAGAGUUCUCUUACUCUGUGAUGACGGGCACCACUUUCAGAUAAAAACAUAGACCUGAAUGGCAUCAUCCAGUAUCCAAGGAAACCAUGUAUUCAAGUAGUCACUCCUUCUCUGCCUGAUUUGAGACCAUGUUACCUACAGCUGCAUGGGACUGCAGAACUCACUGUGCCCUUCGAAUGUUAUGCCUGUCUGUCUCACUGACCCUUGGGUUGGGUGACAGCCUUGGAUGGGGCCCGUGCUGUAUUUAUGAUCCCAAAUCUCUUGCAGUACCCUGGAACAUCGUUCACCAGGGCCAGGAUGGAUUUGCUGUACACAGGAGUGAUCCUUUUCACCUGCCAUGUCCCUAGGUGUGUGAGAAUCUACAAUGGAGCCGAAAGAAUUACAUCUUCCUGGUUCACGCUCAGAAGGAUGCAUCUUUCAACAUUUUGAGAAUAAAUGGAAGAAAAAGGCUUAAAAGUAAAGUACCUUAAAACAUCUGAAUUUAAGAGGUCUCUAAGUCCACUGAUGACAGGAAAAUCUUCAGUGGUUCCAGAGACAAACUGCUGGAAAUCCUGCACAUUUAUUUUCUAGAAGGAAGUGAGCUGAUGAGGAGAGUGAUCUCUUCUGAGAGAUCCUCCCUUUAAAAAUCUGUAAAGGGGCUUCCCUGGUGGCGCAGUGGUUGGGAGUCCGCCUGCCGAUGCGGGGGGGGGGGGGGGGGGCGCGGGUUCUUGCCCCGGGGCGGGAAGAUCCCACAUGCCGCGGAGCGGCUGGGCCCGUGAGCCAUGGCCACUGAGCCUGCGCGUCCGGAGCCUGUGCUCCGCAACAGGAGA